rnacentral:rRNA from 1 species
GAUGAACGCUGGCGGCGUGCCUAAUACAUGCAAGUCGAGCGAACGGACGAGAAGCUUGCUUCUCUGAUGUUAGCGGCGGACGGGUGAGUAACACGUGGAUAACCUACCUAUAAGACUGGGAUAACUUCGGGAAACCGGAGCUAAUACCGGAUAAUAUUUUGAACCGCAUGGUUCAAAAGUGAAAGACGGUCUUGCUGUCACUUAUAGAUGGAUCCGCGCUGCAUUAGCUAGUUGGUAAGGUAACGGCUUACCAAGGCAACGAUGCAUAGCCGACCUGAGAGGGUGAUCGGCCACACUGGAACUGAGACACGGUCCAGACUCCUACGGGAGGCAGCAGUAGGGAAUCUUCCGCAAUGGGCGAAAGCCUGACGGAGCAACGCCGCGUGAGUGAUGAGGUCUUCGGAUCGUAAAACUCUGUUAUUAGGGAAGAACAUAUGUGUAAGUAACUGUGCACAUCCUGACGGUACCUAAUCAGAAAGCCACGGCUAACUACGUG